UUAAAAAUAAGCUAAAAUAAGCUUUUGGGCUCAUACCUCAAAUAUAAAGAUUUCCUUUUUUUUAAA
rnacentral:tRNA from 1 species